AGCAGCCGCGGUAAUUCCAGCUCCAAUAGCGUAUAUUAAAGUUGUUGCAGUUAAAAAGCUCGUAGUUGAAUUUCGGGAUCAGUAUGUUGGUCGUGCUUCGGUACGUACUGUCAUUACUGGUUUCUACCUUCUGAAGAACCUUGAUGUCAUUAAUUUGGUGUCUUGGGGAAUCAGGACUAGUUACUUUGAAAAAAUUAGAGUGUUUAAAGCAAGCAUACGCUUGAAUACAUUAGCAUGGAAUAAUGAAAUAGGACGUUUGAUUCUAUUUUGUUGGUUUCUAGGAUCGACGUAAUGAUUAAUAGGGAUAGUUGGGGGCAUUAGUAUUCAAUUGUCAGAGGUGAAAUUCUUGGAUUUAUUGAAGACUAACUACUGCGAAAGCAUUUGCCAAGGAUGUUUUCAUUAAUCAAGAACGAAAGUUAGGGGAUCGAAGACGAUCAGAUACCGUCGUAGUCUUAACCAUA
rnacentral:rRNA from 1 species